UACGUAGGGUGCAAGCGUUGUCCGGAAUUAUUGGGCGUAAAGAGCUCGUAGGCGGUCUGUCGCGUCGGCUGUGAAAACCCGAGGCUCAACCUCGGGCCUGCAGUCGAUACGGGCAAACUAGAGUACUGCAGGGGAGACUGGAAUUCCUGGUGUAGCGGUGAAAUGCGCAGAUAUCAGGAGGAACACCGGUGGCGAAGGCGGGUCUCUGGGCCGGAUACUGACGCUGGAGGAGCGAAAGCGUGGGGAGCGAACAGG
rnacentral:rRNA from 1 species